UAUGUUUUAUUUGGCCCUACAUAGAGUUAAAAAUAAAUGUUAUUUUAUGGCUAGCUGAUUUCCCAGCAAGAAAUACUGAAUUUUGACAUCUUGAAAAAUCUGAUGAUCUAACAAUGUGAGGCCUGCAUUCCUACAGCUAGCCCUGUUGUCUGCAGUGUGCCACUGAGCCCUCCCAGCUGCUAAAGAGAACCAGAGCCUGGCACUAGUCAAAGCAGGAAAGACAGAUUGUAUUCAGAAGCUGUUGCAAUAGGGGAAACAAGACUUGCGUACAGAACUGGGCUCAGUGGACACAGUAAGGACAGCUGGGGAUUUAUAGCCAAGGAGAGCAGAGGAGUUAGUCCAUGGAUAGGGAAUUACUAACAGGAGACCACAAGGACAGGGAGGGUUCUUGCUGAAUGAAGGCAGUCCAGGGUGAUCAGACAUCCAGGGUGGGAGAUGAGGAAUGCGAGGAAUUCUGCUAGGUAUGGCGGGGGCAAGGAGGGCGGACCUUCCUCUAAGCUGACUUAGCAGGAUUCUUGCUAAAACUGGGUUAUGCAGGCUUGAGGAGCACAGUGGCCAAGGUCGAAGCUUGAGAAGAGGCUUGAGGGGACCUGACUAAAGUUUGCUCAAGGAGAGCAUCUUGUUACCACUUCCCUCUUUUUGCCUGACCCCUGGAGAUAUUUGAAGCUUUGGUUUGUGCUUUAAAGAGAGGGUAUAUCUAAGGUUGCACCAUUGAUUUGGACUGUUGAGCACUUACAAUGGGUUAGUCAAUACAAUCAAGAAGCUGAAUUUUAAAUCUUAUUUAAUUUGAAUUAAUUUAGAAUUAAAAACCAGCAGUAUAAGCUAUUUUCCCCAUUAAACAUAACUUCAGUGUUUCGGUGGGACUAUAUUUCACUGUAACCGUUGCAUCACGUAAAGUAGUAGUGUUGUACUGUGUGUACUUUUUACUUUUUAAAAUGUGGCUACUAGAAAAUGUAACAUUAUACACACGGCUCACAUUCUGUUCCUGUUGAAUGAUACUGAUCUAAGGACCUGACGUGUCUGUGGCAGGUUCUGAGUGGGUCCCCAUGAUCCGCUCUUCCUCCCCUCCCUUUCAGUGUGGGAGGACCUGUGACUUGCUGAAAAAAACCUGCUGACAGUGGCAAAGGUGAUGGGCUGUCACUUUUGUGUUGACAUUGUGUCAUGUAAGACUGCAUCUUGCUGGCAGGCUGAGCUUGGGAGCAGACCCUUGCCAAGUCGCGCCUCCAGAUGAGAACCUGUCCCUGGCCAACUCCAGGAUCACAGCCUUGAAAAGGACCCUGCUAAGCCCUGUCCAGACCCCUGACCCAUAGAAGCUGUGAGAUAAUAAAUACAGCUUGUUUUCAGCCACCAAAUGUGUGGCAAUUUGUUAUGCAGCAAUAGAAAACAUAGGCUGGGGGUGGCGGUAGUGCAGAACUGUGGAAACCUAGCAAAAGGAAAGUCUGCUGGUGAGAGAGAAUCUUAGCUAAUGUCACUUAAGCACUCUGGUCUCUUGAAUAAGCUGUUCCUCAGGUGGUGAUGCGUAAGGCUUUGGAGCUGAUUAGCCUAACUGCUCUUCUUUUGGUUUCGUGCUCACAGAAUAACUUGGUGAUUAUUACUAGUAUCAGUGUAAGUCUGCUUCCCAGAGAGAGGAAGUUGAGGUCCAUCUGAUUUUCAGAGGUUGUGCUGCCUCCCAUCCUGUCACUGAACACUUGAUUCAUCUGCUGUGUGUGAUGAUCACAGCCGGAGAGUCCUGGUGGCCACAGGGAAGAAUGAAGCAGGUCCCUGUUCUCCGGAAUCUUGGCGCUAAGGGGGAAUUUUGUAUUCUUCUUGGUAUGUGUCUUCACGUAUGUCCCACAUAAGGACUCCAAGGUAAGCAUUUGUAUGUGAGAAUUCAGUGUAGGUUAAGUAAUUAGUUCCAGGUUUUUAACUGGCUUACUUAAGACUGUUUCAGUAAACCUCAGGAUUCUAAUCUGGUGGUAGUAAACGAGGUCAGACUCCUGCAGGGAAACAUGGAAACAUAAUAAGCCCAAAGGCCUACCUACUUGAUACCUAAAGUUAAUAGAAUUGUGUAUAGAAAUUAAAGUAGUUAUGCUGAGUCAGCUUCCUUAAAAGUUCUUAGUCAAUCUGAAUCCCCUUUAUAUAUGUUAAUAUGAGCUGCUCGAGGAUAAUCUUUGAAUCUGCCAUUGUACCAAGGACAAUAUUUUUUCGCAGUGUUCACUUAAGAAAUAAAUGUUGAGCGAACGAUCACUUCCAUUUCACGGGGUGCAGGCUGAGUCUCUGGGGAGCUCUCCAUAUCCGUCAGAGCCCCGGAGGAGGCAGAGCCGCACUCAGGAGCCUCAACUGGGCAGACUUUCGUGACAGAACUGUUCACUGAAGACUAAGGGAACCAGCAAGGGAUGCUGAGGCAGCUUCAACUGUCACCACCCCCAGGCCAAAAGGGGCACCUGUGAGAGCUUCUCCUGUGGAGGAGGGACAGAGUGACAGAGCUGUAGCCGGCACAGCAGGAGAGGAGGAGGGACAAGGAAUGAACAGCCCAGCUUCUUCUGCUGCCCUCAGACCGUUGGCUGAACCCAGCUGGGAUACAGAGUGACGGGGACACAUGGGGAUUGCAGUUUGACUCCCCGCUUGCAAAAAUACUACAUUUUCCCUCUAACAAUUCCAUCAUCAUGUAUGUUAUGAAAAACCAAACAUGUUCCAGGUGUUUUCUGAUGAAUUGUUUGCUAUGUACAUUGCUGACAAUCUACAUAAAGUACUGAACUUAAAUUA